rnacentral:rRNA from 1 species
UACGUAGGGAGCAAGCGUUGUCCGGAAUCAUUGGGCGUAAAGCGCGCGUAGGUGGCCAUGUAAGUCCGCUGUGAAAGUCAAAGGCUCAACCUUUGAAAGCCGGUGGAUACUGCAUGGCUAGAGUACGGAAGAGGCGAGUGGAAUUCCUGGUGUAGCGGUGGAAUGCGCAGAUAUCAGGAGGAACACCGGUGGCGAAGGCGGGACUCUGGGCCGAUACUGACGCUGAGGAGCGAAAGCGUGGGGAGCAAACAGG